UCAAAGAUUAAGCCAUGCAUGUAUAAGUAUAAACGCUUUAAGCGUGAAACCGCGAACGGCUCAUUACAACAGCUAUAAUUUACUUGAUCUUGACAAACUUACAUGGAUAACUGAGGUAAUUCUUGAGCUAAUACAUGCACCAAAGCUUUGACCGUAAGGGAAGAGCGCAUUUAUUAGAACAAAACCAAACGGCUUCGGCUGUUCCCAGUUGAAUCAGAAUAACUCAGCUGAUCGUACGGUCUUGCACCGACGACGUGUCUUUCAAGUAUCUGCUUUAUCAACUUUCGAUGGUAGGGUAUCUGCCUACCAUGGUGGUGACGGAUAACGGAGGAUCAGGGUUCGACUCCGGAGAAGGGGCCUGAGAAAUGGCCACUACGUCUAAGGAUGGCAGCAGGCGCGCAAAUUACCCACUCUCAGAAUUUGGAGGAGGUAGUGACGAGAAAUAACGAGGUUGAUCUCUUCUGAGGCCAACCAUCGGAAUGGGUACAAUUUAAACCCUUUAACGAGUAUCUAUGAGAGGGCAAGUCUGGUGCCAGCAGCCGCGGUAAUUCCAGCUCUCAAAAUGCAUAGAAUUAUUGCUGCGGUUAAAAAGCUCGUAGUUGGAUCUGCAGCCGGAGCUCCGGUCCAUCUUCGGAUGUGUACUGGAUGUCUUCGGCUUUCUGACAGUGUUCGGCUCUGUGCCUCUAACCAGGUGUGGAUGUCCGAUACUGUAAGUUUACUUUGAAUAAAUCAGAGUGCUCUAAACAGGCGUUUUGCUUGAAUGAUUGUGCAUGGAAUAAUAGAAGAGGAUUUCGGUUCUAUUUUAUUGGUUUUAUAGACUGAGAUAAUGGUUAACAGA
rnacentral:rRNA from 1 species